CAAGUCCAGCGAAUGGAUUAAGAGCUUGCUCUUAUGAAGUUAGCGGCGGACGGGUGAGUAACACGUGGGUAACCUGCCCAUAAGACUGGGAUAACUCCGGGAAACCGGGGCUAAUACCGGAUAAUAUUUUGAACCUGCAUGGUUCGAAAUUGAAAGGCGGCUUCGGCUGUCACUUAUGGAUGGACCCGCGUCGCAUUAGCUAGUUGGUGAGGUAACGGCUCACCAAGGCAACGAUGCGUAGCCGACCUGAGAGGGUGAUCGGCCACACUGGGACUGAGACACGGCCCAGACUCCUACGGGAGGCAGCAGUAGGGAAUCUUCCGCAAUGGACGAAAGUCUGACGGAGCAACGCCGCGUGAGUGAUGAAGGCUUUCGGGUCGUAAAACUCUGUUGUUAGGGAAGAACAAGUGCUAGUUGAAUAAGCUGGCACCUUGACGGUACCUAACCAGAAAGCCACGGCUAACUACGUACCAGCAGCCGCGGUAAUACUAGUGGCAAGCGUUAUCCGGAAUUAUUGGGCGUAAAGCGCGCGCAGGUGG
rnacentral:rRNA from 1 species